rnacentral:lncRNA from 1 species
CCACUGGCAGAACAGCCUCCUAUCAAGCGGUGGCACAUGCCCGCCUCCCGUGCCAAGGCCGAGCGGAAAUGGAAGAAUAGCCAACGAGGGCGCAGGAAGAGAGUGAAGCCCAUUCACUGGGACGUUAACUUUAAGUCUGGGCCUUUCUUCCCAGUGUGUGUCUCUCCAUCACUGCCCUCGAUCUUGGAGGUGGAUGAAGAGUCUCUUUCUGAAGAGAUGGAGCAAAGCCAGUUGUAGGGUGUCACUUUAUUUAAAUAGGCAAGUUAGUUAAGAACAAAUUCUUAUUGACAAUGACAGCCUACCCCGGCCAAACCCUAACGACACUGGGCAUAAUCACAGGAUUAUGCUUCCGCGCCCGUCUACAAGAGAAAGCACACCCACCUCGCCCCUCUUCACCCCUCCCACUACCCCCCUGCUGUCCCGUGGGUCGUCUCUUUCUGAAGAGAUGGAGCAAAGCCAGUUGUAGGGGAGGGUCGCACACACACACAACUUAUUUUUUAUUUACCUUUAUUUAAAUAGGCAAGUUAGUUAUAACAAAUUCUUAUUUACAAUGACGACCAACCCCGGCAAAACGAUAACACUGACGACACUGGGCCAAUUGUGCGCCGCCCUAUGAGAUCAGUGCCUUAGACCGCUGUGCCAAUCGGGAGCCCUAUUGAGACCUCAUGGCCUCCCAUGGACCAGAGAGGAUCAGCCAGCAUCAUCCCAGCGUCUGCCCUGCCUGCCAUCCUAGUACCUCCACUGCCCUUUCAACCCCAAACCACAAAGGGCAGGUGACAGAAAUGAUCCAGCGCCCACCGAUCCAGGCUGUUGUGCAUGAGCAGCAGCAGAUACUGUCAGAAGUACUGUUGGAACAGACUUUUCCUAUGAGACCCAACAGGAGCCACAAGCUGUCAAAGUACUUUCAUCCCUGGGGUGUGUAGCUUCUCGAAGAGUGUUCUCUUCCUGAAGAUGGACUGCUUCAACCCCUUGGGAGUAUCCAGAGUAUCUUGUACGCUGGUGUGAUGAUAGAAUAUGUCCAUCAGUAUCAACUCGAGAUUAAUGUUAAUCCACUUGUUAUUCUAGUUAGGCAAAUGUUCAUUUAUCAUCAGCAUGUUACAAAGAAUUCUGUUUCUAUAAAGUUUUAUUGCAGUUGAAAAUGAUCUGUGGUGUGUGUUGUUGGUUUCUUGUGAAGUAUGAAGUAUACAAUUUUAGUAGAAUGUUUAUUUCUUCAUUGGAUUUGUUGAUUUGUUGACCAAGGAGAAGAGGUAAGUGCUGACCGGACUAAUAGAAGUGAAGGUCCGAUUCAAAUUUGUAUUAAUCUGAAGGAGGCACAUCUGACUCACACCUUAGUGCCAUAAUUGUUCACAUUUUCAAUGUAUAGCAGCACUGACAAAUUCUCAGGUGGAACUAUUUGUACUACAGCAUUGGAAAUGAGGAUCUAUCCAAACACAGUGUUUAUGAAAUGUGAGAAUGCUGAACAACAUUUUCUGACCAAUAGGCUUGUUUGUCGUAAUAUUUGGCCAAAAUGUUCUUUGCUUGAGUCAAGAGGUCCUUUCUCAACUUGCACAUGUAAGGGAAGCAGACAGCUGCAGAUUUAAUAUAACUGCUGGGUUACGCGGUAACCAGGUCUCUCUUGCCAAAAGAACCCACUUUUGCAAGAAAGACCUGGAUAGUGCCACAUAACGCUUAUGUAAAUUCUUCCUUUUAUACAAAUAAAAAUGACCCCUUUAUCUGGAAUAGAUGUAGUGUUGCCUUACAUUUGUGAAAUGUGAAUGACAUUUGCUUAGCCUUCAAACUGUGCUUCGUUUAAAAUACUGUUGGUUGGACUGCGAGGCAGUCAAUGUAUCGUUUUUCUUUUGAUCUGAAGCCUGACACUGUACGACACGUCGUGUCUCAUUCUCCUUCUUUUGAAUAAAGCUUCCUCUACAUGAUUUUAUUCUAACAUCGUCCAUGUUUUUUUUGCAACCCU